AACGAACGCUGGCGGCAUGCCUAACACAUGCAAGUCGAACGAGACCUUCGGGUCUAUUGGCGCACGGGUGCGUAACGCGUGGGAACCUGCCCUUAGGUUCGGAAUAACUCCCCGAAAGGGGUGCUAAUACCGGAUAAUGUCUUCGGACCAAAGAUUUAUCGCCUUUGGAUGGGCCCGCGUUGGAUUAGCUAGUUGGUAGGGUAAAAGCCUACCAAGGCGACGAUCCAUAGCUGGUCUGAGAGGAUGAUCAGCCACACUGGGACUGAGACACGGCCCAGACUCCUACGGGAGGCAGCAGUGGGGAAUAUUGGACAAUGGGCGAAAGCCUGAUCCAGCACUGCCGCGUGAGUGAUGAAGGCCUUAGGGUUGUAAAGCUCUUUUACCCGGGAUGAUAAUGACAGUACCGGGAGAAUAAGCUCCGGCUAACUCCGUG
rnacentral:rRNA from 1 species